CUCCUACGGGAGGCAGCAGUGGGGAAUAUUUGGACAAUGGGCGCAAGCCUGAUCCAGCCAUGCCGCGUGAGUGAAGAAGGCCCUAGGGUUGUAAAGCUCUUUCGCCAGGGAUGAUAAUGACAGUACCUGGUAAAGAAACCCCGGCUAACUCCGUGCCAGCAGCCGCGGUAAU
rnacentral:rRNA from 1 species